UACAGAGGUCCCAAGCGUUGUUCGGAUUUACUGGGCGUAAAGGGUGCGUAGGCGGUGGGGUAAGUUUGAGGUGAAAGCUCCGGGCUCAACCCGGAAAAUGCCUUGAAAACUAUCCGGCUAGAGGGUUGGAGGGGAGACUGGAAUUCUCGGUGUAGCAGUGAAAUGCGUAGAUCUCGAGAGGAACACCAGUGGCGAAGGCGGGUCUCUGGACAGGUCCGUGACGCUGGAGGCACGAAAGCGUGGGGAGCAAACAGG
rnacentral:rRNA from 1 species